GACAACACAAAGACCUGGGUUAGCAGACAGUUUCCUGUUUGUUUCCCAAAUGCAAUACACUGUUACUAAGUCUUUGUGUUUGGAGUAGAUCUCAGACUAGUCCAUCCUACAUAUCUACUACUUUUAUUAAACAAGUGGACUAUUGUUGGUCUUGUUCCGACAAGAAAAGUAACUGUAUGAGAUGAUGGAUAUUUUACUACACUUCCCUAUAAUAGCAAUUUUAUUAUGUCUAUCUCAUCAUAUAUCCUCUCUCUAUAUAGACACACAGUGAAACUAAACUUACUAAAAUAUAAUAAAAGAUACAAAUAAAUUUCAGUCUGUAAGAAUUUUCAAAGGUUUUGAAUAAUUAAUGGAGAAAUGUAACAUUUUCUCCCUUGCUCCUUGGACUAAACUCUCAUUCUGGUAACGGUAAUAACCUAAAACACCAUGGGAUGAACAGAUCAUCUCUGAUGACCUCAGUGACAGAUACUUAAAACUAAACUGACAGAGGACACAGGACUAAGAAUAACAUGUGAAUCUGAAAACAAGGAGAACCAAACAGCUUUUCAGAGGUUCAUUCUCUUUGGAAUGCAUUACCUGAAUGAUUUCAGUCCUAAGACCUCGCUUAUGAAUGGACUUUUGAGAUGAUUGUUUUUAUUUUACCCAACAGACUGUGGCUAUGAAUUCAUUGAAAAUUGCACCUGAGCAGGUAAUCCUUGACUAGAAAAUCAACUGGAUAUGUAGAAGAAAAUUUCAGAAGCCCAAGAUGCUAAUAAAACCUGUUGAACAUUAAAAAAAAAAAAAAAAGAAAUGACCUGGGGAAAAAUUAUAUUGUUCCUGGCAAUGUAGAACCUAGAAGUGAAUUUAUUUUUGUGACAUACCAAAGGAAAAAUAAAUAUUAUCAUGUUUUCAUUUUUAUAUUUUUAAAUUAUUAGCUAUAAAAUUUAUGAAAAAUGUAUGUUUCCUGGACUAACAAAUACUA
rnacentral:lncRNA from 1 species